CCUACGGGUGGCAGCAGUGGGGAAUAUUGGGCAAUGGGCGCAAGCCUGACCCAGCAACGCCGCGUGAAGGAAGAAGGCUUUCGGGUUGUAAACUUCUUUUGUCAGGGACGAAGCAAGUGACGGUACCUGACGAAUAAGCCACGGCUAACUACGUGCCAGCAGCCGCGGUAAUACGUAGGUGGCAAGCGUUAUCCGGAUUUACUGGGUGUAAAGGGCGUGUAGGCGGGACUGCAAGUCAGAUGUGAAAACCACGGGCUCAACCUGUGGCCUGCAUUUGAAACUGUAGUUCUUGAGUACUGGAGAGGCAGACGGAAUUCCUAGUGUAGCGGUGAAAUGCAUAGAUAUCACGCAGAACCCCGAUUGCGAAGGCAGCAUACCGGUGCACAACUGACGCUCAGGCACGAAAGCGUGGGUAUCGAACAGGAUUAGAUACCCUUGUAGUC
rnacentral:rRNA from 1 species